rnacentral:rRNA from 1 species
AUUGAACGCUGGCGGCAGGCUUAACACAUGCAAGUCGAGCGAGCGGCGGACGGGUGAGUAAUGUCUGGGAAUCUGCCUGAUGGAGGGGGAUAACUACUGGAAACGGUCGCUAAUACCGCAUACCAUCGGAUGUGCCCAGAUGGGAUUAGCUAGUAGGUGGGGUAAAGGCUCACCUAGGCGACGAUCCCUAGCUGGUCUGAGAGGAUGACCAGCCAAACGGGGACGGAGAAACGGUCCAGACUCCUACGGGAGGCAGCAGUGGGGAAUAUUGCACAAUGGGCGCAAGCCUGAUGCAGCCAUGCCGCGUGUGUGAAGAAGGCCUUCGGGUUGUAAAGUACUUUCAGCGGGGAGGCGUUACCCGCAGAAGAAGCACCGGCUAACUCCGUGCCAGCAGCCGCGGUAAUAC